CGACUUUUGGCUUUUCGCCACUGAGGUUUUUUUCUUUGAUUUUUCCCUCAGCACAUAGGCCCAUCUCUCUUUUACAGAAGUAAGCGAAAGAAUAGAGAGACAGACCCGGUAGAUAAAGAAGAGAAUCUGGAGGUGGGCCCGGUGGACCACCGGCGGAGCGCUACGGCUGAUAACGUAGAAGGCGAUGGUGGCCGUUUUCCCUGGUCACUUGAAACCAGACCUGCCGGCUGUGGCUUCUAGAAUAAAGGCAGCCGGUUGAAUCCAUGCCUCCGACAGCAGCGGCUGGCGGAGAUAGCGAUGUUUUGGAGUAGAAUAGGCGGUGAUGAAGGUUAUGGUUGCAUGAUCGGUGUAUCAAGGAAUGGCGGAUUGUCUUCCAAAUGAAGUCGGCUAGGGUUCCGGCGAGUUUCCGGUAACCCGAUUCAGCUGUGUGUGUCUAGCACCCUACUGACGCCGAGGGGAGCGGGGAACGGCCACUUUAUCUUGAGGAUGCCGGUGGUCUUGCUUGAGGGCGUCGGAGCUUGAGUGCGUCGGAGUGUCGAUCGGAGUGGGAAAGCGCUAGAGAGAGAGAUAACGAUGGGUCGAUGGGAGUGAGUGCUGGCCGACGUAGGCAACAACGGUUCGUUUGGGGAUUUCACAACGACCGAUAACUGAUUCGAUGAUGGUGGUGGUGGUUUCACGGCGGAGAAGAUGGGUGUGGAAUUGGUUGCUUGCGCGGGCAGAUAUGGUAGGAGAGGGGCUGUUGGUGUCCUUUUUCUUUCUUUCUCUCAUCCUUCCAAUUAUCCAUACCCUUUCUUUUUUAUUUCGAUUGACAACUUAGAAGCUUAUGAAUAUACAAACCAAAAGUUUUAGUGUCGUAGGAUUGUCGUGGUGCAGUCAUCGCUAUCAUUGCUCCUGUUUAUUUUCACUUCAGUCUCCGUUUUCAUCAGGUACAUUACGGUUUUUUUAUAGUUUACCAAACUUAUCUUCAUUGAUGUUGAAGUAUUGUUGAUUCUAUUAUGUUUUGAAAUUACUUUCUGAUCUUAUACACUUAUGGAAAAGUAAUUUAGGACUCAAUUUUGCUUUCUGUUAUAAUUUAGGUUUGUUAUUUUGGUAAUAUUAGUAUGGAAAUACCAAUCCUUAAAUUAGUGACUAUCUUCAGAAACUCUUUAGCAUUGCAUGUUCUUACUGUUUCCUUAAUUUAUUAGUUAAAAGACGCAUAGUUGUGAUCUCAUGGGAGGAUCAUGUUACAGUUUGCGACUUGAAUAUGCUUCUUUCUUUAAUACAUUUUCGAAGGUGUUGUAUAGGUUAAGUACUUAAGUGGCAACUACAUAAUGUAGAAACUAUGUAUAUCUUUUUUUUAAUCUUAAACAUCCAGUUCAUCUUUAUAAUCUUUGAAAUAUUAUAAAGAGUUCAUAACUUUUGGCAAGGAUGCUCAAUGAGGUAAAAAUUGAAUGUUUAUGAGAAUAGGAGAUCAAAUAGAUAUCAUCAUGUAAAACAAUUCAACAUAUUCCCUAGAAAAAAAAAGACAAAUGGAGCCUCCGGCCAUAGAGUAAAAACAAUAAGGAUUAAAUGCAAAGCCAAUGCUUAGUUUGUAUAUAAUUUCUCUUUUAAAUACAAAUUUUAAGCAUCAUGUUGGCAAUAUAUAUAGAUCAGGCUUCAAAGCUUUACAUUAUUGUGACCAUAAACAUUAAUUUGCUAUAGUGUUGUGCUUAUACGAUCUACAAUUUGUAGAAUGGUAAGUAUGUUAUUUUGGCAGAGUUCAAAUAACCACAAUGAUGCCAAUUUCUUUAUAGCUGGAGUUGAAAAAGUGCAUUUGGCUAAAGAAUCCUCCUUUUGUCUGUGCUCAUGGCAGUGGUGCUUCCAAGGCCUUCUCUAAUUCAGUCUGUGUAUUGUGUGCCUAUUUAAUAUUAAGUCAUUCCUUAUCUUUCCCCUAUUGCUAAUGUGCAUCUAUGGGUUUAUAUACAUGUGUAGUAUGUCAGCCGCAACCCGCCGCGAAGCGCGGGGUAUCUACUAGUUGUAAAACAAUAGAAAACAAUUAAAAGCAACCCUAGAUGUCGUUCAACAAAAAAAAAAAAAAAAA